rnacentral:rRNA from 1 species
GAGUUUGAUUAUGGCUCAGGAUGAACGCUGGCGGCGUGCCUAACACAUGCAAGUCGAACGAAGAAUUUUUUGGAAGUUUUCGGAUGGAAGAAAAAUUACUUAGUGGCGGGCGGGUGAGUAACGCGUAAGUAAUCAACCUACAACACACGAAUAACUAAGAGAAAUCUUAGCUAAUACGAGAUGAAGUAAGUAUAUCGGGAGAUAUAAAUAUGAAAGCUGAGGCGGUUGUAGACGAGCUUGCGUCUGAUUAGCUAGUUGGCAGGGUAAGAGCCUACCAAGGCGACGAUCAGUAGCCGGCCUGAGAGGGUGAACGGCCACAUUGGAACUGAGAGACGGUCCAAACUCCUACGGGAGGCAGCAGUGGGGGAUAUUGCACAAUGGGCGAAAGCCUGAUGCAGCGACGCCGCGUGAGCGAAGAAGGCUUUCGAGUCGUAAAGCUCUGUCGUAUGGGAAGAAAAAAAUGACA